CCGAGAGCGCCUGGGACAAACGCCGCGUCCCGGGACCCUGCCGAGGGCUGAUGGGGCACCUGUCUCCGCGGGCAACCCUCGACUAUGUGUUGGAAUCCAACCCAGUCCGCCGAGGUGGCCCCCUCCAGAGACAAGGUUUCACCAUGUUGGACAGGCUGGCCUCAAACACCUGGCUUCAACUGAUCCUCCCAACUUGGCCUCCCAAAGUGCUGGAAUUACAGACAUGAGCCACCAUGCCUAGCCCUGUUUUUCAUCUUCAAAGAGAACAAUGUCUUUUCUUUAUUUUGAGGGAUGUAUUGAAUCUACUAUGAGAUUGUUUAUAUAGACACAAUAAAUACUGAAAAAAUUAAAUUAA